rnacentral:tRNA from 1 species
GAAUAUGAAGUGAUUCAUUACAAUUAGUUUCGACCUAAUCUUAGGUUAUUUAACCCUUAUUCU